UCUGUUGUAGUCUAGUUGGUUAGGAUAAUCGACUCUCACUCGAGAGACUUGGGACGUUCAAGUCCCGGCAAUGGAA
rnacentral:tRNA from 1 species